rnacentral:rRNA from 1 species
CGCUCUUGUUCCUCAAAAUAUAAGAGGUCCCGCCUGCCCUGUGACUAUAUGUUUAACGGCCGCGGUAUCUUAACCGUGCGAAGGUAGCGUAAUCACUUGUCUUUUAAAUGAAGACCUGUAUGAAUGGCAUCACGAGGGCUUAGCUGUCUCCCUUCUCCAGUCAAUGAAAUUGACCUCCCCGUGCAGAGGCGGGGAUGUUUCUAUAAGACGAGAAGACCCUGUGGAGCUUUAGACCUAAAGUAAACCACGUUUAAUGUACUAAAAUUAAUAGCAUAAACUUAGUGGACAUUUAUUUAAGUGUCUUUGGUUGGGGCGACCGCGGAGUAAAACAUAACCUCCAUGUGGACGGGGAUACUAUCCCUAAAACUCAGAGCCUCCACUCGAAGCAACAGAAAUUCUGACCUUACUGAUCCGGUACAACCGAUUAACGAACCCAGUUACCCCAGGGAUAACAGCGCAAUCCCCUCUCAGAGCUCAUAUCGACGAGGGGGUUUACGACCUCGAUGUUGGAUCAGGACAUCCUAGUGGUGCAGCCGCUAUUAAGGGUUCGUUUGUUCAACGAUUAAAGUCCUACGUGC